rnacentral:antisense_RNA from 1 species
GGCUUCCGGCCGGGCUGCCUCAGCUGGGCCCCUGGGCAGACUCCAGUCUCACGCCCGGGUCCCGACCCGCCUCCGAAAACUGACCCGUGCCCCUCGGAGCCUGCGGUGUGCGUGCCGCCGCCUCCCGCGAUGCGAGCCUCCCGCGCCGGCUGCCCCACCCUCUUUCUGGAACUUUCCGGGGCCUCCGCGGGCCGCACAGCUCCGCCCUCCUUCCCGACCCUCAAGCCCCGUCCCCAGGCUCCAGGACUCCAGCCCGUCUGCCGGUGUUCAAAGCUGUGUGUGGCCAGGGACAGUUGGCUUCACCCGAGCAUCUCCUACACAGUGUGGCUUGUCUCUUGUCGAAGUCAUAUAAAAUAGG